rnacentral:rRNA from 1 species
AGUGAACGCUGGCGGUAGGCCUAACACAUGCAAGUCGAACGGCAGCACAGUAAGAGCUUGCUCUUACGGGUGGCGAGUGGCGGACGGGUGAGGAAUACAUCGGAAUCUACUUUUUCGUGGGGGAUAACGUAGGGAAACUUACGCUAAUACCGCAUACGACCUACGGGUGAAAGCAGGGGAUCUUCGGACCUUGCGCGAUUGAAUGAGCCGAUGUCGGAUUAGCUAGUUGGCGGGGUAAAGGCCCACCAAGGCGACGAUCCGUAGCUGGUCUGAGAGGAUGGACAGCCAAAAUGGAAAUGAGAAAAGGUCCAGACUCCUAAGGGAAGGAGCAGUGGGGAAUAUUGGACAAUGGGCGCAAGCCUGAUCCAGCCAUACCGCGUGGGUGAAGAAGGCCUUCGGGUUGUAAAGCCCUUUUGUUGGGAAAGAAAAGCAGCAGGUUAAUACCCCGCUGUUCUGACGGUACCCAAAGAAUAAGCACCGGCUAACUUCGUG